GAGCCGCAGAUUGCGGUAAAGAACCCAGGCUUGCGAGGCUGCACCCCGAGCGAGACGAACAACGCUGCGCUUGGGUUCAGCCGUCCCGGCUCCCUGUGUUCCGCGCGACCGUUAUCUUAUGUGAAUGCGAACUUCCAUCCAAUUUCAUAAGAUGAGAACAUUCCCCAGGAGUUCUGAGUGCGUGUCUUCGGGACAUGUGGGCCGUUUGACGCUUAGCUCUGCGUUGUCCGCGGCGGGCCGAGACCCACGCGCGGAUCCAUGCGGUCCGACAGGAAGAGACACCCCGGCUGGAGCGGAGCGGAAACCCAUCGCUACAGAAGCGACGCUGGAGCACAAGGUUUACGAACCGUCAUGGGAUUUCUGGGGCAGUUCUCCUCGGCCCCGUGCUGUCCAGCCAUGAGGGGACACAUGGCAUAGCAGCAGACAGACAUCUCUGCCAAGGCUCCAAUUACAGAGACAUUAGCAGGCAGCAAGCAGUGGCUAAUUUGACAAGCUGAAAUGAUGCCCAUUCAUAUCCUUCUGCUUGAACAGCCCAGGGUAAAUAUUUCCCCAACUGCAGCACAAAUAGAGGGACACUAUUUGAACAGCUGAGACACGAGAUUGAGAGGCAAAUACUCCAGAGAUGAGAGACGUGGAGAUCAGAGAUCGCGCUGCGCUGCGUACUUCCGCUUUCAUAUAUUUGCGAAGGGCCUGUCGCCAAACGGUAUCGAUACAUUUUGUUCGCCGGCACAUCGAUGCAAAUUAUACACAGAGUCACCAGUUCAGAGUUCUCAAACACAUUGGAUUAGGUAUUUAAUUUUUGGAACGUAUUGUAACGACCCGUGUUACGGAGAGUUUAGGCGGGAAAAUGGGUCUAUUGUAAACGGUUGGAUUGUGGGUAAAAUGUGAAUAAAGUGUUCAACCGCUGGGGGGACUUACA
rnacentral:lncRNA from 1 species